UGCCUAAUACAUGCAAGUCGAGCGAACUGAUUAGAAGCUUGCUUCUAUGACGUUAGCGGCGGACGGGUGAGUAACACGUGGGCAACCUGCCUGUAAGACUGGGAUAACUUCGGGAAACCGAAGCUAAUACCGGAUAGGAUCUUCUCCUUCAUGGGAGAUGAUUGAAAGAUGGUUUCGGCUAUCACUUACAGAUGGGCCCGCGGUGCAUUAGCUAGUUGGUGAGGUAACGGCUCACCAAGGCAACGAUGCAUAGCCGACCUGAGAGGGUGAUCGGCCACACUGGGACUGAGACACGGCCCAGACUCCUACGGGAGGCAGCAGUAGGGAAUCUUCCGCAAUGGACGAAAGUCUGACGGAGCAACGCCGCGUGAGUGAUGAAGGCUUUCGGGUCGUAAAACUCUGUUGUUAGGGAAGAACAAGUACAAGAGUAACUGCUCGUACCUUGACGGUACCAAACCAGAAAGCCACGGCUAACUACGUGCCA
rnacentral:rRNA from 2 species